rnacentral:misc_RNA from 1 species
AUGCCUAACGUUGCAGAAGCAGAAGGGGCAGAUGAUUCUGGAAAUGGUGAGCACAAAUCCGAGAGAAGGUCUCCUGAAGAGAGCCUGCAAGGUGCCGUUCAAUCUUUCUGCACCCGUGCCUCCGGAGAACCCCUGGGUCCCAGAGGAGAUGGUCAUUAUCCGUGGAGCUGUCCAGUGACCCACACUCGGGAGAAGAUUUACGCCAUCUGCUCAGACUAUGCCUUUCUCAACCAGGCCACCUCAAUCUAUAAAACUCCAAAUCCAGCCCGUUCUUGCCUCUCUGAUAGUACCUCUUUAUCUGCGGCAAAUAAUUCCUCAAGGUACAUUGGCAUCUCAGCCAGUACGUCGGACAUCAUCUACAAUGAAGAAAACAGCUUGGAGAACUUAUCCAACAGCCUGGGCAAGCUACCUCUCGCAUGGGAAAUUGAUAAAUCUGAAUUUGAUGGAGUGACCACGAAUUUGAAACACAAAUCAGGCAAUGGAAAGAAGCAAGUUUCUAAGAAAAAAACUUCAGAUAAGAAAGGAAGACAUCAAAGGGAGUGGCCUCAGUAUUCUCCUCUUGAAGAUAUUAAGCAGCGGAAAGUAUUAGACCUCAGACGAUGGUACUGCAUAAGCCGACCGCAAUAUAAGACUUCUUGUGGCAUCUCCUCAUUAGUUUCUUGUUGGAAUUUCUUGUAUAGCACAAUGGGAGCUGGAAAUCUUCCACCCAUCACCCAGGAAGAAGCUUUACAUAUUUUGGGCUUUCAGCCUCCAUUUGAAGAUAUUAGGUUCGGCCCCUUCACUGGAAAUACGACACUUAUGAGGUGGUUUAGACAAAUUAACGACCACUUCCGUGUAAAAGGAUGCUCAUAUGUUCUAUAUAAGCCUCAUGGGAAGAAUAAAACAGCUGGAGAAACUGCAUCUGGGGCCUUGUCGAAGUUAACUCAUGGAUUGAAAGAUGAAUCGUUAGCUUAUAUCUAUCAUUGCCAAAAUCAUUAUUUUUGUCCAAUUGGCUUUGAAGCAACCCCUGUCAAGGCGAAUAAAGCAUAUAGCAGGGGUCCCCUCACACCACAGGAAGUAGAAUAUUGGAUCUUAAUUGGAGAAUCAAGUAGAAAACAUCCUGCUAUUCACUGUAAAAAAUGGGCAGACAUUGUCACUGAUCUAAACACUCAAAAUCCAGAAUAUCUAGAUAUCCGGCACUUAGAGAGGGGGCUGCAGUACCGAAAGACAAAGAAGGUUGGAGGAAACUUGCAUUGCAUCAUAGCAUUCCAGAGACUUAGCUGGCAAAGAUUUGGCCUUUGGAACUUUCCGUUUGGAACUAUUAGACAGGAAUCACAGCCUCCAAUGCAUGCCCAUGGAAUUGCCAAAUCUGAGAGUGAGGACAAUAUCUCCAAGAAGCAGCACGGGCGCCUGGGCCGGUCUUUUAGUACUGGUUUCCAUCAGGACUCAACAUGGAAAAAGAUGUCCAGUAUCCACGAGAGAAGGAACAGUGGCUACCAUGGUUACAGUGAUUACGAGGGGAAUGACUGACCAUGCUGGGUCCCUACGCUGGGGGUCACACACACAGCUGGUCGAUGCAGGACUGCGUUAAGGCAGUACAAGAUUUUAAGUCUAUGUUAAAUAGGAACAGAUCUUGUGGGGCAAAACAUAACCUUGUAGUUCCUCCAGUAAAUAAGCUUGUAUAUGAAUAGGAUGGGUGAUUUCAGACAUAUAAACAGAUAAGCACAGACUUUUUUUUUGUCCUUUUAAAAUUAAGAGUAUAUAAACAUUCUGGACAGUUUUGCAAAGUCCAAUAAAAUUACAUAUAAACAAA